CGGAGGAUCCAAGCGUUAUCCGGAAUCAUUGGGUUUAAAGGGUCCGUAGGCGGUUUUAUAAGUCAGUGGUGAAAUCUGGUCGCUCAACGAUCAAACGGCCAUUGAUACUGUAGAACUUGAAUUACUUGGAAGUAACUAGAAUAUGUAGUGUAGCGGUGAAAUGCUUAGAGAUUACAUGGAAUACCAAUUGCGAAGGCAGGUUACUACAAGUGGAUUGACGCUGAUGGACGAAAGCGUGGGGAGCGAACAGGAUUAGAUACCCUGGUAGUCCACGCCGUAAACGAUGGAUACUAGCUGUUCGGAGCAAUCUGAGUGGCUAAGCGAAAGUGAUAAGUAUCCCACCUGGGGAUACGAACGCAAGUUUG
rnacentral:rRNA from 1 species